UGGGGAAUAUUGCACAAUGGGCGCAAGCCUGAUGCAGCCAUGCCGCGUGUGUGAAGAAGGCCUUCGGGUUGUAAAGUACUUUCAGCGGGGAGGAAGGGAGUAAAGUUAAUACCUUUGCUCAUUGACGUUACCCGCAGAAGAAGCACCGGCUAACUCCGUGCCAGCAGCCGCGGUAAUACGGAGGGUGCAAGCGUUAAUCGGAAUUACUGGGCGUAAAGCGCACGCAGGCGGUUUGUUAAGUCAGAUGUGAAAUCCCCGGGCUCAACCCGGGAACUGCAUCUGAUACUGGCAAGCUUGAGUCUCGUAGAGGGGGGUAGAAUUCCAGGUGUAGCGGUGAAAUGCGUAGAGAUCUGGAGGAAUACCGGUGGCGAAGGCGGCCCCCUGGACGAAGACUGACGCUCAGGUGCGAAAGCGUGGGGAGCAAACAGG
rnacentral:rRNA from 1 species